UGGGGGCGGGGAGCGGAAAGAAGAGUUGGGAGGAGUGCAGGCGGAGUUGGGGGAGGGCCCACGCAAAUCUAGAAAGAGGAUGUGUGGGAACUAGGUGGGCUGGGCAAGGUUUGGGCUUGGGCCGGCCUGAGGUUUAGGCUCGGAACUCGCCGGGGCCAGGCCCAGAGUCUCCGAGGUCAUCGGUUCCCACCCUACCCAAUAAGUAAUCGUCACGGGGUCGGAGGUUGAAGUCAGUGUGCUGGGUGCUUUGGGAAUACUGGAUUUAGGGGAGGACGGAAGUUGCUCACCUCUAAAUUUUCGCUUAAUUCUGCCUUCAGUUCUUAAGGUACUGAAAAUUUCCAACUUUUGAGGACUGAGGAAGCCAGGAAUCAACCGGCGAAGAGGAAUCUUGAGGAAAGGAAACAGGCAUCCAGGCUUCCCACUCCCGUGACUGAUCUCAUCUUUUAUCAACAUUCCGCUCUUCCCCAGGCAGUUGAUUAUUAAACUUAGUUUCUCAAAAUGUCUCUCACCUCCACUCCCUCCCUUUCAUUCAUUCUUUCAGCAAAUAUUUAUUGAGUAGGCUCUGUGUUCAGUGCUGGAGACACAGCAAGAACAAGACAGACGGGGCCCUGCCGUCUUGGAGUUCACAGUCGUUGGAGACAGAACCAAGCUGACCUCAACCAGAUGACAGCCAGCCACGGAAUCUGUUUAUCUGGCCUAUCCUGGCCUGCCUCCCGGGACACAGAGGAGGUGGAGAGGACAGAAAGUCAACCUGGAGGAGCAAAUAGAAGAUAUCUACCCGACUCUCCUACCCAAGAACAGGAAAGGACUUAAUUGUUUACCAAUAUUAUAAACAAAGAAGUGGUACUUAAAAGUGCAUUUCUGAAGGGGGAGAGUAUAGCUCAGUGGUUAGAGUACAUGCUUAGCAUGCAUGAUGUCCUGGGUUCAAUCCCCAGUAUCUCCAUUAAAGUAACUAAAUAAAUGUAUCACUGUGCUUUGCUUUUGUCACUUAGCAUUAGGUUCUCAAGACCUAAACAUGCUCAAAAAUCACAGCUAUGGUUCAUUUUCAUAUCGUGAUGCUACUCCAUUGCCUGAAUAUAUGACAGUGUACUUACCUAAUUUAUUUCUGUAAUACACAUUGAGAUCAUAGGUCUUUUCCUCAAUGCUGCAGCGAACAUCCUAGAGCAUCUCACGGACACAGUAGUAAGAAUC